rnacentral:rRNA from 1 species
AGAGUUUGAUCCUGGCUCAGAUUGAACGCUGGCGGCAGGCCUAACACAUGCAAGUCGGGCGGUAGCACAGAGAGCUUGCUCUCGGGUGACGAGCGGCGGACGGGUGAGUAAUGUCUGGGAAACUGCCUGAUGGAGGGGGAUAACUACUGGAAACGGUAGCUAAUACCGCAUAACGUCGCAAGACCAAAGUGGGGGACCUUCGGGCCUCAUGCCAUCAGAUGUGCCCUGAUGGGAUUAGCUAGUAGGUGGGGUAAUGGCUCACCUAGGCGACGAUCCCUAGCUGGUCUGAGAGGAUGACCAGCCACACUGGAACUGAGACACGGUCCAGACUCCUACGGGAGGCAGCAGUGGGGAAUAUUGCACAAUGGGCGCAAGCCUGAUGCAGCCAUGCCGCGUGUAUGAAGAAGGCCUUUGGGUUGUAAAGUACUUUCAGCGAGGAGGAAGGCGUUAAGGUUAAUAACCUUAGCGAUUGACGUUACUCGCAGAAGAAGCACCGGCUAACUCCGUGCCAGCAGCCGCGGUAAUACGGAGGGUGCAAGCGUUAAUCGGAAUUACUGGGCGUAAAGCGCACGCAGGCGGUCUGUUAAGUCAGAUGUGAAAUCCCCGGGCUCAACCUGGGAACUGCAUUUGAAACUGGCAGGCUUGAGUCCUGUAGAGGGGGGUAGAAUUC